GCAGGGGGUCGGAGCCAGGGACGGGGUUGGAAAACAUAUCAUCGUCUCCGAUCCAAAAGUGAUCGGAGAUUCAUUUUUAAAUAUUAUCCCUGAUCCGUCGAAAAUAUUUUUGGAAAAAAAAAUCAUUCAAAUCAGAGUCGGGGAACGAUCCCGUCGGACUGCGUUUAAAUUACCAUCCCUGACCCUCCCUCUCAACCGGCGUUUUUGGCGCCCAAAUGUGCCCCCGCUUUUAGUCUGUUCCAUCUUCAAACCGCCUUCGCAAUUGAAAAUUCUCGUGCUCUCGACCGAACCAGAGCUAGGGUUUUGACAAGCUCUGAUAAAAACUCUUUUUGAUUCGGAGAUCAUGAAGAGAAGACGCGAAAUCAAUACCAGAGAUCCUCCAAAAAUCCGAAGUUCUUCAAUUAGAGUUUUUAAUGGAGUUCGUAGCUAUCCUGAAACGGGAGAUGAUGUAAUCAGGGGAAAAAGAGUGAAGUUUAGAGAUCCGGAAUUGGAUUGUCCUCCAAAUAUUAGACACACUGUUUCUUCCAUGCAACAUGAAGCAAUUGGGGAUCCAGGAUCCAAUGCCCCAAAGACUUCCGAGUACGCAUUCUUCAAGAAAUUAAAGCAGGAUGCAGGAGGUUGCUGUCGCUCUUGUCCUUUACAUAAAAAGGACAACCAAUUGAAAAAAGUUAAAACCAAGUGAGUUUUACCAGAGAGGCAACUAAUUUUGGUGAAAAUAGCCACAAGGUCAUCGGGACCCCAUUGCUCAUUGAAAAAGUUAAACCUAUUAACCACAAUUUGCUCCUCUCACCCCUUUGUGGUGCAUUAAAGAAUUCAGGGACUGAAUUCCAGGAUGAAAGAGUCUUUUCUGGAAAGAGAAAGAAAUUACAUCAGUGGGUUGUGGAGACCUCAUUACCUGAGGUGUAAUUUGGUUUCUGUUCUCCUCAAUCGGCUGUUCCCCGACAGUAAUGAAAACAAUCAUUGCUGGGAUGCAAAGCCAUCGCAGAUGAGAGCUGACACCAAAUAUUCAUCACAUGCUUUUCCCGACUCAAAUACCUGCGACAAGGAAUUUCAUUGGACUCAAAGAAGGGACCUUGUGGAAGAUGAGCAGGGGUGGUACUUGGAUGAUUUCCGUUGCAGAUCAAGAGAAAUAAUUACCUCAAAAUGGGAGACCCAAGGCUCUGAUUCUCCCUCAACCAGCUAUGCUGCAAAAAAAAAAAUUCAGUAUGAAAACAAGAAAUUUGGUUCUGAUUAUGAACGUGGUACUGCAAGUUUGAUCACUCUACGUGAUCCAUAUUUUUGUUCUAAUUUCGAAAAGUAUGGAUCUACUACAUCAAUUUGUGUUAAAGAGCUGAACAAAUUUCAAGAUCUGGAUGAUUCUGCUACUGGAAGAGAGCCAUGUACUUUGUUGCAAUUGGGUUGGGAUUCUAUUAACUUGAAAGAUGAAGGAGACUCGUCAAUUAAUACUUGCAACACAGAGACGAACUCGCAUUCCACAUUGGCAAAUUCAUGGGAUCAUCAUCACCAGCAUUGUCUGGAUGGAAGUUUUGAUGCAAGCGAGCCGUACUCUUUGUCCUUUUCCAAUUAUCCUUCCAAACAUACCUUACUACCACAACCUGAUUCAACCAAACUUUGUAAUUGGGAUGUGGGAAGAUUCCUUGAAGAGGAGAAGUUUCUUGUUAUAAACAAGGUUUUCAGUGAAAAGCAUCAUCCAGAUUUGGAAGCACUUGUCCUUCCCUCACAACUGCGUUUUGAUUUUGGAUGGAAGUGCUUAUCAAUGAGCGGUUCCUUUGGUGAACUUCACUUGUCUACUUAUGAUGACGGUUUUCAAUCUCCACAAAAGGAAAGUCCAUGUUCUUAUCUUCUUACAGAAGAGGAGCAAGAGGAUUGCUUGUAUAGCUCAAACCACAGACAAUCCAUUACUCAUUUUGCAGAAGAUACACUUGACAGUCAUGAAUGGUCUUCCAUUGAUUUCCAGAUACCUCUUGAUGACAGAGAGAUCUAUCUUCCUUUGCUGCUUGACAGUACAGGCUGGCUUAGACCUGAAGAAGAUAUACAUUAUGAUGAUGACAAAAGGAUCAAGAAGUCAGACAUACAUUACUUGAUUUCUGGGCUCUACUAAUUCUACCAACUCUAGUCAUGGACUAGAAGCCGAGAGGCGCAGGGGAUCGAACUCGGACUGAUGAGCAGGCCACCAAGAGCACUCUGCAUAAUACCCUCGUGGACCUAAUUGUCCCACAAGAAGCUGAGAGGAGAGAAAUAGGAGUGUGUGUGUCAAUUUCCGACCACACUGCCAAACAAGUAUCCAGCUGGAGAACACCGGCAGAAUAGAUUAAGCCCGAACGACUUGCAACAGAAAGAAGAGACUCCGGUGGAACGACUUGCAACAGAAAGAAGAGACUUCGGUGGUGGUUCGACUACCCGGGGGUACUCCGACGAUCAAGUCUGUUAUCUCUCAAAGAUAGCAAAAGUGCUUAACUCACUAUUCAGAAUAUCAAAAGCGUAUCUUAGACCCACGAAGAUGCCUCUCUUUUAUAGCCAACACUGACAUAAUCCCAAUAGAAGCCUAGCUCCAAUGGAGUCUAUCUCAAUGUUAAUCUUGGACUCCUAGUUAGAUUGUGAUAAACUCUCUAAGAGUUUUAUCUUUAUCCAGACUGAAGUCCUCCCCAAUUAUAGGGCUCUUGUUCCUUAUCCGCUUAUCUCGGAUUUUGGUAUUCUCGCAGAUUAUCUCGGCCUUGUCGACAUUACCUCGGCAUCAUGAUCAGCACACGUGGCACAUCGGCUGACACUUCGGUACCAUCUCGACCACGUGUUAUCAUUCAAAAAUUAUGUCUCUACAAGGAGAAUGAUAAGUUGCAUCCUCCCGAGUUGGAUCUAUUCAAGCCUAAUUAGAUGUUUAACUCGAGGAGUCAUUAUCUUGUAUUCCAAGAAAAUCAUAUUGGUUGUGUGCUCGCUCAAUAAACAAUGAUAAAUAAUUACAUAAUUAAAAAAAUAAAAUAUAUAAUAAUAAAUCACAAAAUAUUAUUAGAUAGACACAUGAUUUGGUGGUGUUUGACUUGUUUAAUAAUUUUUGCAAUUGGAGAGAAUUUCUUCUUUUUUUAUUUUUCUUUUGUCCAUAUUAGAAGUGUUGCUAGAUCAAUUAUAAAUAAUUAUUAAGUUUGAAGUAAUUAAAUUUUAUAUUUUAAUUAAGAGUCAUGUAUUUUGUAUUUUAUAUUAGUAUAUAUUUUUCCGUAAAUUAAUGGAGGACCGAAUUAACGUGAGGCGUUGUGCAUAGAGAAUGAGGACAAAAAAGGACAUCUGGCACGAGUCCCACUCGUGACCCUAUGCUUCCCGCCCACCGUACCUGUGCUGGUCCCCCCAUUGCCACGUCAUUUUGGUCACUUGGUCUUUUGCUGACAUCACCUUUUGAUGCUCGAGAACCGAGGGAGGAUUCAUUCCUUGUCUUCUCUACGUGGCUCAUUUCUUAGAAUCUAAUGAGUUAGGCCUCAUUUGGAAACAGGUUAAUUUAGUAAU